GACGAACGCUGGCGGCAUGCCUAAUACAUGCAAGUCGAGCGAACAGAUGAAGUGCUUGCACUUCUGACGUUAGCGGCGAACGGGUGAGUAACACGUAAGGAAUCUACCUAUAAGCGGGGGAUAACAUUCGGAAACGGGUGCUAAUACCGCAUAAUAUCUUCUUCCGCAUGGAAGAAGAUUGAAAGACGGCUCUGCUGUCACUUAUAGAUGACCUUGCGGUGCAUUAGUUAGUUGGGGGGGUAACGGCCUACCAAGACGAUGAUGCAUAGCCGACGUGGAGGGGUGAUCGGCCACAUGGGGGCGGAGACACGGCCCAAACACCUACGGGAGGCAGCAGUAGGGAAUCUUCCGCAAUGGGCGAAAGCCUGACGGAGCAAUGCCGCGUGAGUGAAGAAGGCCUUCGGGUCGUAAAACUCUGUUAUAAGAGAAGAACAAAUUGUAGAGUAACUGCUACAGUCUUGACGGUAUCUUAUCAGAAAGCCACGGCUAACUACGUGCCAGCCGCCGCCGUAA
rnacentral:rRNA from 1 species